CUAAGUUUGGUAAUAGUCCCCCAGUGGUUUACCUCAGCUUCCUUGUAGAACUUUUAAAUGUUUUUUGCAUACCCCACAACUGCCAACUCAUUGUACACAUCUCCGGCAUCAAUAUCUUCAAUCUUUUCCUUCGGUAAUUUAAUGUUCAGUCCACAAGCAGCCUAUGCAAAAACA